GAUGAACGCUGGCGGCGUGCCUAACACAUGCAAGUCGAACGAAGCAACUUACCUGAUUCUUCGGCUGAAAGUUUGGUGACUGAGUGGCGGACGGGUGCGUAACGCGUGGGUAACCUGCCCUGUACAGGGGGAUAACAGCUGGAAACGGCUGCUAAUACCGCAUAAGCGCACGAGGAGACAUCUCCUUGUGUGACAAAGUCCGGUGGUACAGGAUGGGCCCGCGUCUGCUUAGAUGGUUGGCAGGGUAACGGCCUACCACGGCAACGAUCAGUAGCCGGUCUGAGAGACAGAACGGACACAUUGGAACUGAGACACAGUCCAAACUCCUACGCGAUGCAGCAGAGCGUGAUAUAGCACAAUGGCGGAGACCAUGAUGCAGCAACGCUGCUAAAGUGAAGAAGUAGUGCGGGAUGUAAAGCUCUAUCAGCAGGGGAGAUAAUGACGGUACCUGACUAAGAAGCUCCGGCUAACUACGUG
rnacentral:rRNA from 1 species